ensembl:lncRNA
GUGAAAUUAUGUCAGAUGAACCUGGGGUGAGUGGAUUGCCGGUGUGUUCUCUGUCCCCCUCCCGCAGAGAGGAAGGAGAAUUGGAUUUGGACUCAGUUCACAUGUUGCUGCGUAGCUUCCAGCAAGAGCUCAGGGACACAGAGAGAGAGCGGGAUGAGGCACAAGCACAAGAUGAGGCGGUUCAGCGUGGGGAGUUACAGAAUAGGAUUAUGAGUGAAGAGCUGGCCAAAAUGAAGAACAGCCAACAGAUAACUGAGGCAGAGGCCAAAGCACUGCAGGAGAAGCUGGAGUGCUACCAGACCUCUGAGGAAAGUCUCGAAGUUGAGCGUCGCCGUAUGAAGGAGACCUGUGAGGCCACGGAAGCUCGAGCUGCCAAGCUGGAACUCACACGCUGGGGGUUGGGGGGAGAGCUGCAGCAUGCCCAGCUCUGA